GGCAUGUGAGUUUGUCUGUCACCGAGAUCACUUUGGCCUGCCUGCGUGUCAAUCUGUCACUUCUUUGUACAGCAGCACUUGGAUUAACUGUCUCCGAGUCAAGGUGUCAUGAACAGUGACCGUGUCUCUUUUCGGUAAAAGCAUUGUGUCAGGUAGGAUCACCAACCACACAACCACCUGUUUGUUCCACCUUCACUGCACCCAGUUCCGUGGAAAAGACCUCACCCACGCUUUCAGUCCCUCGCCUCAGUCUCAGACACCUCUCCAUCCAACCUGGAUUCACCCCUCCACCUACAUGGGAGUCAGCUGAAAUCAUCCUGCCUUGCCUGGCUGCCCACUCGUCUAGUUGGAACA